rnacentral:rRNA from 1 species
UACAGAGGUGGCAAGCGUUGUUCGGAAUUACUGGGCGUAAAGGGCGCGUAGGCGGCCUUCUAAGUCAGAUGUGAAAUCCCCGGGCUUAACCUGGGAACUGCGUUUGAAACUGAAAGGCUAGAGUGUGGCAGAGGGGGGUGGAAUUCCACGUGUAGCAGUGAAAUGCGUAGAGAUGUGGAGGAACACCGAUGGCGAAGGCAGCCCCCUGGGCUAACACUGACGCUCAUGCACGAAAGCGUGGGGAGCAAACAGG